rnacentral:rRNA from 1 species
AACGAACGCUGGCGGCAUGCCUAACACAUGCAAGUCGAACGAAGUCUUCGGACUUAGUGGCGCACGGGUGCGUAACGCGUGGGAAUCUGCCCUUGGGUACGGAAUAACUCAGAGAAAUUUGUGCUAAUACCGUAUAAUGUCGUAAGACCAAAGAUUUAUCGCCCAAGGAUGAGCCCGCGUAAGAUUAGCUAGUUGGUAGGGUAAAAGCCUACCAAGGCGACGAUCUUUAGCUGGUCUGAGAGGAUGAUCAGCCACACUGGGACUGAGACACGGCCCAGACUCCUACGGGAGGCAGCAGUGGGGAAUAUUGGACAAUGGGCGAAAGCCUGAUCCAGCAAUGCCGCGUGAGUGAUGAAGGCCCUAGGGUUGUAAAGCUCUUUUACCCGGGAUGAUAAUGACAGUACCGGGAGAAUAAGCUCCGGCUAACUCCGUGCCAGCAGCCGCGGUAAAACACGAGAGUA